AUACGUAGGGUGCGAGCGUUGUCCGGAAUUACUGGGCGUAAAGAGCUCGUAGGUGGUUAGUCGCGUCGUCUGUGAAAUUCCGGGGCUUGACUCCGGGCGUGCAGGCGAUACGGGCAUAACUUGAGUACUGUAGGGGAGACUGGAAUUCCUGGUGUAGCGGUGAAAUGCGCAGAUAUCAGGAGGAACACCGGUGGCGAAGGCGGGUCUCUGGGCAGUAACUGACGCUGAGGAGCGAAAGCAUGGGUAGCGAACAGGAUUAGAUACCCUGGUAGUCCAUGCCGUAAACGGUGGGCGCUAGGUGUAGGGGUCUUCCACGACUUCUGUGCCGUAGCUAACGCAUUAAGCGCCCCGCCUGGGGAGUACGGCCGCAAGGCUAAAACUCAAAUGAAUUGACGGGG
rnacentral:rRNA from 1 species